CGCGGGGUAGAGCAGUUGGCAGCUCGCCAGGCCCAUAACCUGGAGGUCACUGGUUCGAGUCCAGUCCCCGCUACCA
rnacentral:tRNA from 1 species